UAUGGAAAACGGCUAAGCUGUCGAAAGGCAGUGACGCAAAGCCACGGGUCUUCUCACUAUUCAAGUGAUGACAGCCGGGUUACCCAA
rfam:Paenibacillus naphthalenovorans strain 32O-Y, complete genome.